AUUUGUAAUCCUUUUGGACAUUUGAUUUGAAAUCAAAUUAUUUGGUUUUGUUACCAAUACAAAUU
rnacentral:tRNA from 2 species